CAUUUUCAUCGCCAGAAGGCAAGAUUCCCAAGGGAGCUUGCACAGUGCAUGGAAAAUAAGGGGUCCAUUUCCCUGCCUAAAAGGCAAAAAAAUAUAUUGCUAUGGAAAUAGCUAGUAGGUUUAUUCUCGAAGAGUAUUACACAUAG
rnacentral:ncRNA from 21 species